CACAGACUUCUUCAUGUUCUGGAACUAAGAUAGCAGGAGGCAGGCAGGCAGGCACCCAUGGGAACUCCACACGCCCACCCGAAUCUUCCUGCCUAGGAAAUAAACCAUACCAACAGCAAGAGCUUGGGUUAGUCAAAGUAGAAAGUGAGGAGGUUAUACUCAAAUAAAGUGAUACCGACUUCUAUUUUAAGAUUUUGCUAGGAAAGUAGUGAGUUUCAAAAGAUGACAUACAUAGGACUUUUUGACAAAAAAAGGAAAAUCUCCACUUUAGCAGAGGAGCAAUGCUAGAUGUGGAGUCAGCAGGGACACGGUUUAAAUUCUAUUCCAAAUCAACCAUCUCUGUGACCUCUGGCAAGUCAGUUAAAUCUCCUUGAACUGCAAUUUCUUCACAAUAUCUGAAAAGCCUAUCUGGCAGGGUUGUUGUGAAGUAAAAUGUUUUUAAAAACUUAAAGUGAAAUGUAAAAGUGAAUUUAAUACUGAAAAAUAGGCAUUUUUUUUGGUUGGAAUUGCAAUUUGAUUGGGAUAUGGUUAGGGAAUUUGUCAGAGAAAUAAGUAUCUUUUUCUGCAAUUUGUAGGCUUAGAGAGUUGUCAUUUUAGAGCAUUAAAUGCAUGCAAUAGGUCAGGUGCUGCUCUGAGUGGCAGGUAUAGAAACAAAGUCUACAAUGCGGUCCUUCCCUUUAAGUUGCUCAUCAAGAUGAGUUCUGCACUAUAUUAAAUAGAAGUACACCUGCACAGCUUUGAGGGAUUGGGAUGAGAGGUGAACAAGUGAUUUCCUCAAGGUCACAUAGUCAAUAUGUGUCCAAGAUAGAAUUUGAACUCAGGUCUAUCCUGAUUCUGAAGUUCAUUCUAUUCAUUUAGGCCAUGCUCCCUCACUAGGGAUACUGCCAUGAAAACCAAGGCUUCAGACAAAAUAUCUUUGUGAAAACCCUCAGUAAUUGAGCAGAAGUCACUCUCACAGUAGACUCCUCAAACCUUUCAGCUUGCCUUCUUCAUAUUCCUCAACUUACCUAAUCAUUCUAAUUCUGUGAUGAAUCCCAGAACCAGCGCUUUGGGAAUAGCCAUGAAAGCUAGAAGAUAAUGCUUCACAUAAAAAAAAAAAUAUAUUUUAACUUCCAUUUUAGAAUCAAUAAUAUGCAAGACAAGAACAGGAAGGGCUAGGCAAUGGGGUUUGGGGCAUAAGUGACUUGCACAGGGUCAUACAGCUAGGAAAUAUGUAAGGCCAAAUUUGAAACAAGGACUUCCUACCUCUGGGCCUGACUCUUUAUCUACUGAGCCACACAGCUGCCCUGAAGCUUCAUACUUAAUCAUCACACUAGAAUUUGGUUCCCAGCCAUCUACAGUUUUUUGACUAUAUGGAAAAGAAAUGAAAUAUAGUCUAUUUGACCCCUGAAGACAGAACUAGGAACAAUCAGUGGACAUUACAAAGACAAAGGGUAAUUUACCUCUCAACUAGGAUAGUUGGAAGGAAAAUAUUUAACAAGGAAAAUGAACUCCAAAGCAAAUGAGGAAAGAAUAAAACCACUGAGCUACUUUCAAAAAGUUCAAGUCAACAGACAUUUGAUAUCUGUUACUUUUCUUCCUGUUCAUGGAACCUGAUGAAGGUCUCAAGGUGAAGUCUGGUCUUGUCACAAUGCCUAGGGUACAGGGGAAGAGAGGCCUAAAUUCUGUAGACCCUUAGCUUACAGCUCUUCAAAGCACUUCACACACAUUGCCUAUUGUUUCUAAAAAAAGAAGGUAAGGUUUUCUUUUUUUUUCUUUUUCAUCUAUACUAUGUAUCAAUUCCAAGGAAGGAGAAUGGUAAGUCAAUUGCAGGUAAGUGAUUUGCUCAGGGUCACACAGCUAAAAAGUAUCUGAGGCUAGAUUUGAACUAGGGCUUUCCAAACUUCUGGGCUGGCUCUCUAUCAACUGAGCCACCUAGUUGCACCUAGAAUUGAGUUCUAUUGCUAAUUCUUGGGUCCACUCGUGCAGUUCUGUUGCUUGGAAGAUAUGCAGAUUGAGUUCAAGGUAAGAGAUUCAGAAUUUUGAAAAAUUGUUUGCUAUAUUAGUUCGUUGAGCUUUUACCUAGUUUGGAUUAUUGGUGUCGUGUAGAAUAGAGACAUCUGGAACUGUGAUAUCUCUCUUGCAUAAUUCCUGUUUUGGUGAGGUUUAAGGGCUAAUGAGGAUUAGAGGAAAUAUCUGCUUCUCUGCUCAUCUGUCAUGUGACCUGGAAGUUUAGUAGUCUAAUUGGUCUUCUGGUCUCAAGACUCUCUUCACUCUAAUUCACCCUCAGAAUACCUACUGAGGUGAUUUUUCUAAAGUGUAGGUCUAACUGUAUCACUCCCCUUGCUCUAAAAAUGCUAAUGGAUCCAUAUUAAUUAUAAGGAUGAAUAAGACUUUUUUGGUUGAAUUAAAGCCCUUCACAAUCUUGUACCAAUAUGUCUUUUCAAAUAUUGUUAUAUAUUACUAGUCUUCUCAUAACCUUUGGUACAGCCCAACUGGUUAUUCUGUUCCUCACAUAUAACAUUCCAUCAUCUCUACCCUUUUAUCAUCUGUCUUCUUUACCUGGAAUGUACAACUUCCUCAUCAUCAUCUCUUAGAAUACAUACCUUGUUUCUUUCAAAAUUCAUUUCAAGCAUAAUCCUCUACAUUAAAAUUUUUUUGAUCUCUUUUAAUUGCUAGUGCUCUUCUUUCCAAAAUUACUCAUUUCAAUUUUGCAUAUAUUUUAUGUCAUUAAAUACAUACAUAUAAUCUUCCCUUAUCAAAAGUUAGCUCCUUGAGAGGAGAGAUGAUUUCAUUGUUGUCUUUAUAAUCCCUGCUAGCACAGAACUUGGCAUAUAGCAAACUGUUAGCAAUUCUAUGUUGUUUUAUUGAUUGGAGGUAAUAAGAAGCACUCUAAUAGGGCAGAAUAUUUACUUUGUGAAUGGCACUGUUCUAAGGAUAAAUGUAAAUACUUACAUAGUGCAAAAAACAUUGAUCUUAUGGCUGAUUAAAAGAUAGCCAUAGCAUUUCUAAGAUUUACCAUUCUAAUAACCUUAUCCAAAAAGAGAAAUUAUCUUCAUUUAGUCAGAUUUGUUGGUGAAAAUAUGUUAACUUUUUUGACUACUUCUUCAAUUUCUUGACGUUCACUAACAUUUCUUUUUCUAUGUUCUUGGUUUCUCUCCCCCUCACCUCUUACAAAACAAAACUGAAGUCAAGAUCACUGGUGUAUUUAUGCCCAUUUGCUAUUUUUUAAAUGGUGAUGAUGAAUGCCUUUCUCAAGUUCUUUAUAUGCCUCUUGAGUCUCCAUAAUCUCUCAAAGAUCACUGACAAUAGUUUAGCAGCCAUGUCCAUAUUUUUUGCGUGUCUAAGGAUGUGGUUCAUUAGAGUCUGGGGACUUGAAUUCAUCAAGGGCAGUGAAGCAAUCUCCAACUAUCUCCAUAUUCAACUUGUACAUUUCUUAUUAGCCAUUGUCAUUCUGUUUUUUGUAGUUCAAAGAUUAUUUUCCUUGGUGGAAAUAGAAAGUAAUACAGAAAUUGAACAACUCUCUUUCAUCCAUAUCAAUUAAUGUUCUUCAAUGCUCCCCCAGGAACAGUCUGAUCCCUUUAUUUUCUUAGGAUAUCUAAGAAACAAUCAAAAAUCCAUUUUCUGUUGUCCUUAAUGUUCUUGCCAGUUUUGACUCAUUCUCUGCUAGUACUCCUUAUACUAUGCUUACUGAAUCAUGCAGUGUUUUCAUAUUCAUCCUCUGUUGUCUACCCCUGCUUCCACCUACUGAACAUAUCAUUUUCAAAUUUAAGUUCACUGGUGAAUCCUUGAACCCUCACAAUAAUAUUUUAAGCUACUUUUCUUUAUCCUCAACAUUGGAAUUGUUUCUUUUUUGUAUUAUGACCAUUUCCUUCCUAAAACUUUCUCGUGACUCCUGAACAGAAUCUCUCUGUAUCACUUUAGUACAUAGCAUUCUACUAAUUUUUUCUUUAAACCCUUUUAAAUUAAAGUCUCUACCAAAACAUAGGGCAAUUCAUUUUAUGCUCAAGUCAUAUUUUCUUCUCUAUCACCAAUUCUAAGCAGGAAUAGCCACUUCUUCCUUAAAGUCUGCCUAAAGACUAGUUUUCCCUUAUUGGUGAGAAUGAGAUCCAAAAUAUCAGUUCCCUUCAUGGAUUCCUCUACCUUUCAAAGGAUAAAAUCAUCAUUUAAACAAAAAGGGUGACAGACAGACAGAUUGGAUGAGAAGUGGAGAUGAAGAGACAGAAAAAGAUUGAGAGGAGAGUAGUAAUAUCUAGAUAAUCAAUAGUUUUCAUCAUUAUUACAUUGUAUCUGUCAGACUUGCAAAAUUUCCCAGAUUGCUUAUGUGCUUCUUUCUUCUGUCUAAGUAGUCUUGUAUACCCAAAGUUUAAUAUUAUUUGACUUCCUUCCUUCCUUCCUUCCUUCCUUCCUUCCUUCCUUCCUUCCUUCCUUCCUUCCUUCCUUCCUUCCUUCCUUCCUUCCUUCUUUACUUACUUCCACAUUUUUUCUAGUAGGACUGCAUCUGGGGUAUGCUAUAGGCAUUUGACAAGUCAUAGGGAUCUCUUCCAUGUCCUAGAUAUAUGCCCUGAGAAGAUGUAUAGUUCCCCAAUGUCAUUACAAAGUUGAUAAUUAACUGUCUCAUUUCUCUUCAGCAUAAUUUCCAAGCUUUACUACUAAUCUCUUCUUCUGACCCUUUAGUUAUGAUCUCUCAACUGAUAGUGACUGUCAGUCUGAAUCAUCAUUUCUUAGAAGAUAAAUAACUUCUUCCUCUUCAGAGGAUCUAUCCCUUCUUCCAGAAGGGAUUCGUUCAUAUAUAUACAUAUUACUUUCAAGCAUUGGAUGGUUUUUCCAUUUUCCUUUAUAUGAAAUUCAUCAAUUUUGCAAUUAUAUGAAAAGUAUUUCCUUAUGACUCAGAUCUUUUUUCCUUCAUUGUUUUCCUGUUGAAACUUUUCUUUUAUGUUUUAAAAGAAAAAAAAUACACAUAAUUGUGCCUGAAAAGUAUUCGAGAGAAGUUUUCAUACCCCUUCUUUCUUCUUCAACAAGAGAACAACCUGAACAGUAUUAGUAUCAAUUACUAAUCCCUGGGGAUAAUGUAUGCAUUCUUCACUUUAUGUAGAGUACUACAAAAUUCUUCCAGCUCUUCAUAGUUGCUUGAAGGGACUUCAUUCUGAACCAUUUAUGUAUCACUUUAAGGUUUGUAAAGCAAUUUAUACAUGCUAGCUAAUUCAAUCUCCCACGUCUGUGACUUUCAGAUUAGGAAACUAAUGCUCAGAAUGUUAUGUGACUUGCCCAGGGUCACACAGUUAGAAAGCAACUGAAGACAGGAUUUUCAUUCUGACUCCAAGUCCCAUGCUCUAUCCACUGUAUUACAGAGUUGCUAAAGGAAUUUAAAAAAUUAAGUUUACUGUUUAAAUAUGAUCCAGAGGAAAUAUGAGCUAUUAUUUGAACACUGAAUUAAAUAGUAUUGAUAUCCUAAGUAAAAUAUGUAUGGCUGAGGGAAUCUCUUUAGAGAACAAGAAUGCCACCGAUUGCAGAUGACAUGAUGUUUGCUUCAAACAUUGAAAAAUUCCAGGAUUUCUUAAAUGAAAUCCAAAACUAUCCCAAAGGCAUUAAUCCAAAAGAAAAAGUAAUUGGAUGAUGGGUGACUGUUGCACCAACCAUGAUAUACAAUUUAGAUGUACAAUGUAUAUGUACAAGUCAUAUACUCAUACACUGGAUAGGCACUGUAUCUCAGUGAAUCACUGGACCUAGAAUUAAGCAAGAGAAGAGUGGGAUGGAUUUGUUUGGAGGAAAUUGAACAGAUAUUUAAAUAAUUGCAAUAAUCUUCCUGAUACAAAGGUUUAUCUUCUUAACGCUGAUAUUCUUUUAGUCUGGAAUAGUAUGCCUAUGGUCUUUAUUUCUAGGAGAGACUGAGACCAGUGGAUUAGUUGAACUCAAAAGUUUUGAGCUGCGGUGGACUAAGCCAUUUGGGUGUCUGUACUAAUUCCAGCACCAGUAUGAUUAUUUCCUCAGUAGUAGAGGUCAUUAGGCUAAUUAAGGAUGGGCAAACUGGCCUAUGUCAACAAUAAAGCAGAUGAAAGUGCAUAUGUCAAUCAGCAAGGGGAUCAGGCUCAUGAACAAUGACUGAACUUCUAGCUUAGGUGAGAGAAGGAGAUCCAAUUAAAAAAAAAACCCAAUACAAAACAAAAUUAAUCUUAUGUUAUGUACUGAAAGAGAGGGAAUAAAAUAGCCUUUAAAGAAUUAUGCUUCUUGGCCACCCAAAGGUACACUGAGGAGGUGAUGGUGGGUGCAUGUAAGUAGAUUGAAAUAUAUUACCAACAAUGAAUCGUACAGGAGAAGUAAUAUAAAGGUUAUCAUCGGUAAAAUGUAUGGACAGAAAAGGAGACAGAAUGGCCAUAUAAAAAAGUGAGACUUAGCUGAUGUGGAAAACCCAUCUAUUUUAUUGGUUAAUAUCAAGAGAUCUAGAGCAAGGCUUUUUUAAGGGAGGCUUCAUGAAUAUAUAUAUAUAUAUAUAUAUACAUACACACA